rnacentral:lncRNA from 1 species
GUGAUUGAGGAAUAGGCGGUCUAUUUCGGUUGUUCAGCAUCAGAUUAGUGGCUCCGAGCAUCCAAUAGCAUCAAAGGAUUGGCAACCCUUAUCAUCAAGCAGUGGUGCAGCUUCAAUAGGGCUUUUACAAGUUAUGAAAUCUAUGGUGAUUACCCUAGAUAUCUAGCGUUAGAGAGACGGUUCCAGCCAGUUAAGGGCCUCAAUUUUUUUCCGGCUUUGGGCCUCCAAAUAGGUUGAGCCGACCCUAUUGAUUCAUUAAAAUUGUGUAUCAAAGUUACGAAGUAGCAGAUAGAUCAACUAAAGUUAAAGGAAUAUAAUUGCAUGCAUAGAAAGUUUGACUAAACCAGAGUUUAAUGAGAUGUUUACCAGCUGUUUCCAAAGUUUAGACUGUCGUGAGUGCUACUAUUUUUGAAGUUGAAGUUUGGAUGCAUUUUGAUGAUGAAAGAUGUGUUUGCUUUGAAUAUUGGUUUUUAGGUGAAACAAGAUGAACAAACAAUGUGUUGGCUUAUAUAACUGCCCCAAAGAAGCUCUGUAAUAGUUGUUGGAAUGGCUGGACUGCUUGAUGAUUUAUUUAUAUUAACAUCAUUUUUUCAUAUUUCCAUAUCAUACUCACUAGUUUGUUUGCAUGCCAACGUGUGUGAGAUAUCACCAGUUUAUGCUGGACUUUGUUUAUAC